rnacentral:misc_RNA from 1 species
AAGUCGUAACAAGGUUUCCGUAGGUGAACCUGCGGAAGGAUCAUUAACGAGUUAGGGUCCCUCGCGGCCCGACCUCCCAACCCUUUGUCUACCUGACCACUGUUGCUUUGGCGAGCCCGUCUAUAAUGGACCGCCGGGGGGUACCUUGAUCGGCCCUCUGGUCCGCGCUCGUCGAUAGCCAAACUUUUAAAAUCUUAACCAAACGUGUCUCAAUCUAAGUAUUAUUUGUUAAAUAAAAGCAAAACUUUCAACAACGGAUCUCUUGGUUCUG